rnacentral:rRNA from 1 species
GGGACAACAGACGGAAACGACUGCUAAUACCGAAUAAGUUCCAAGAGCCACAUGGCCCAUGGAAGAAAAGGUGGCCUCUACCUGUAAGCUAUCGCCUGAAGAGGGGUUUGCGUCUGAUUAGCUGGUUGGAGGGGUAACGGCCCACCAAGGCGACGAUCAGUAGCCGGUCUGAGAGGAUGAACGGCCACACUGGAACUGAGACACGGUCCAGACUCCUACGGGAGGCAGCAGUGGGGAAUCUUCCGCAAUGGGCGAAAGCCUGACGGAGCAACGCCGCGUGAGUGAUGACGGCCUUCGGGUUGUAAAACUCUGUGAUCCGGGACGAAAAGGCAGAGUGCGAAGAACAAACUGCAUUGACGGUACCGGAAAAGCAAGCCACGGCUAACUACGUGCCAGCAGCCGCGGUAAUACGUAGGUGGCAAGCGUUGUCCGGAAUUAUUGGGCGUAAAGCGCGCGCAGGCGGCUUCCCAAGUCCCUCUUAAAAGUGCGGGGCUUAACCCCGUGAUGGGAAGGAAACUGGGAAGCUGGAGUAUCGGAGAGGAAAGUGGAAUUCCUAGUGUAGCGGUGAAAUGCGUAGAGAUUAGGAAGAACACCGGUGGCGAAGGCGACUUUCUGGACGAAAACUGACGCUGAGGCGCGAAAGCGUGGGGAGCAAACAGGAUUAGAUACCCUGGUAGUCCACGCCGUAAACGAUGGAUACUAGGUGUAGGAGGUAUCGACCCCUCCUGUGCCGGAG